CUCAACCCGCAUCGUAGACGAAGAUAUUAUACUUCCCCCACUCAAAGUCUUAUAUUGUUGAUGAAAUAAUUAUACGAAAAUAGAACAUAUUCACGUUGUACGAUGUUACAAAAUUGUUGCAUCCUUUACUCGGUGCUGGAAUAUAAAGAUUUUCCGAAUCCUUGAAUGGCAGUCUUCAAAUAUUCUGACUCUGCGUACUCAUGGGGAUGAAAUAUUUCUCCGACGUUUUAACUUGUGAAAACUUAAAUAUUUUCCACCCCGAAAAUACAACGAGGCACGAUGGGGUUUAGUGCUGACCCGAUGUCAUUAUUAUUGGGUCAAUUUUUUUUCUAAUCAUUUGCCAUGCCAAAAAUAGAAAUAUGGAAUCAUCAUGACCACGUUAACCGGCGGAUGUGCUAAAAAAAAAACGUCUUAAUCAACUUGUAAGAUAAUGGACACCUAUACCACGACGUAUAGCGCAUACACAAGCUUCUAACGGAGUCGUGGAAAACCCGUGCGGUUUUUCUGUUUAUUCCAACGUAAGACGCCAUUUUUUUGUCGCUUUCAUUAUAGAUGAUACCUCCUCGGGUCCAGGAUAUCAGAGGAUAUCAACGGAACACCGCAAUGUGGCCGUCGUACAAUCUACCACCAUAUGUAUACGCCUUACUUCGUCGUGAAAUUUUUCUGAUCGGUUUACAAAUUUUUUUAGCCAUCUUUAAUGCUGUGGGGACAAUCGGGGGUGCUAGCGAGGAACGUAAUUGAAAAUUUCAAUUGAAAACCCCAUUUCAUGGAUGAUUUUGGAAUAAAUUUAAAGACUUGCUUCGUAACGGCCGAUAAUUUAUUGACAAUAUCAAUGGAACGUUUCUGAAAACUAGUACAAUUGACAGGACUGCUUAUUCGUAUAAUAUUUAUGACAUGCAAUUAUUUCGUUUUUAUUCAGUACAGUAACUCACACUCGAAAUACUCGAGAUUAAUGCAAUUGACAUCGUUCGCGCCAUUUGGUGAUAUUAACCGUUUUCCUCGUGGAUCUCAAGACUAGUUUUUUCUUCCAGUUAAUAUUUUCGAGAAUACUACAUGUAUUUUACAGAGAAAAAACUGUUAUGACGUUUCCAACGGCUACGCAAUGGCUAAUAAUAUGGUUGAUGGUAAGGAACCCUGAGCGUGCGAGUCUUGCACCGGAUCAUUUGCAUUUAUUUUGUGUUUAGCCUGCAACAUUCAACGAUAAUGGUACUUGAUUCAUUGCAAUGAUUAUUGAUGGUAAAAAAGUUCAGGCUUCGUAUCGAUCUACAUGUUCAUAACGUUGCAUUACAACCAUAAUCCACCAAAUUAGUGCGUUUUAUGUGAUGUCAUUACGCACACAUGUAUUGCAUUAUAUCUUAUCCUUGGUAGGUUUCGAUCGAGAUCAGCAAUCGUUGGUUUGUAUAACUCAAAAAUAAUAGGCGUGUGUGUAGUAGCGCAAGCAAGUUUUCAUGCAUCCCCAUUAAAUGACGAUUUUGAACGUAUCUCAUAUCGCCCGAAAAAUACCAAAAAUGCGUCGACGGAACUUGGCCAAUUAUCAUAACUAAUUAUCGUGCGAUUAUCGUAACUAAAUUUACAACGGCAUCCUACAAGAGGGUCAAUAAUUUAAGGAGGGUACAGUCAUCCCCAUAAGCCUGCGUAAAAAUUUGCCACGCACAUGACCACCUCAGCUCCGCUUUGGUAUUCUUCAGGCAACGGUGAUUACAUUGAAGUUUUUUUUUUUUCUUUUUUUUUUUUUAA